rnacentral:lncRNA from 1 species
AAAGCGUCGUGAAAAUAUGUGAGACCCUCAAGCUUGAUAGCUUCUUGAUGUAAUGGUUCUUUGUGUUUGUCCUUCCAUUCAAGACAAAUAUACCUGGUCAAAAACCUAAUGGUUGAAAAACAUAUGUACUGAUCAAUUAGUGAAACAAAGUUGUAUCACUGAUGCUGUGUUUUUCAUUGAAGCAAAGUAUGACAAUGUACUAAUCUAAUAGUGCAGAUGUAGAUUAUCUCGCCUAACCUGAUCGCAUGCUUCAAAGUUAGAUUUUGGCCCAGUAUAUAUUUAAUGUGUACAGUUCACAGAAAUAAUAAUGGUUUAUUUUAUUUCGUUACAAGCGCCGACAGACCAUGACGCUUGAAGAUAUGGAGGCGACAAAUCUGUGCUUAUCCCCUCUUGGUGAUAACUCUAGCCGAGCCCCUCUUGGUGACAUUCCUAAUCUUGAGCAUCCUUCCCAAAUGACUCCAGUGCCCGUGCCAGGUAAUUGCGAGCAUAAUUUUUUGUUGUUGAUCGCAUUGGGGCAUACAUAUAGUUGAUACGGCUUUUCUACUGUUAAAUUCUUGCUGCAGAAAUACAAAAAUUAUAUACAAAUCAGAACGAACAUCACAACAUGUUCUUAAACACAAUGGUGUUAGCACACAAAAAUCUAGCUAACAACAGGAACUACGGUUUUAACCCAGGCUAUUAACUAAGGUAAGGGAGAGAAUUUAACUGGAAAUUACUUCUUGGUGCAAGUAGUACAUGUGCUUUCAAGAGGAGCCAACGAUGCGGCCAACCAUGCUUAAAAUGAUACACAGUGCAAAUCCCACGCCUCUGGAUUCCUCUUACUUCAUCAGCUCACUUGAGUAAUGCCCUGCUUGUUUAGCAAAUAAAUUUUAGUUGUGUCUGGAAGAUGAUACAUAGCUGUCUAUUAUAUCAUGAAGAGCAUGGCUCCAAUGUAUUUCAGGUACUUAUGUCUAGCUUCAACAGAUGGCAUCUCUAAUACUUCUGAAUCUUUCUUUUUCCGGAUAAUGCAUCUGUAUGUCUGCAUUCAUAUGCUUAUGUAUAUCCUUGAAUCCAUUUUAGUCAAACAUUGCGAUCAAUAGCUCACAAGGAAAAAGAACAUUGUACAGUAGAAGAGGCAUAUGUGAAUACAUUGCGCAAAUAACUGAUACCAGUUUUCUGAACUAG